rnacentral:lncRNA from 1 species
AAUGUAAGAUUUUCAUUACAAAAGAGAUCUUUACACAAAUAGUCAAAUAUGUUUUACUGUCAGUUUUUGGUAGCCGGUAUAUCUAAAUUAUACACUAAUUAUACAUAGUUAUACACAUAUAAUGUAUGUGCAAAACAAACACCCUAUGUUAUACAAUAUAUGCAGUUCAGGUAUUGGAAGAAUAUAUGGCCUCUUUCAAGUCUGUAUAUAUCCAUGUUAUAUGAUACAAGUAAGGAGCUGAUAGGAGUUAUCGGUGAAUGGAUAUCCGUGCUAAGUACAUACGCGAUAAAUUUUUACAUUAUCAGUGUAUAAACUCUCUCAUGAGAAUUAUUUAGUAGAAGAAGGAAGUGGUGGAGAAUGAGAUGUAAUCUCUUUACGACCAACAAAGUUCCUUUGAGAAACUUGGCUUGCCAUGUCUGUACGAGAAUUCGUGCCAGGAUUUGAUCCGGGAGAACGAACUGGACGCCAUUGCAGAGAUGGUAAUAGAAGAUAAUGUUCUUUUUCAUGGUCAAGAAAUCUUGCUGCUUCACUUGUUUUCAUGCUUAGGGAUAAAAAAAGUAGCAAGAUUAUACAAACAGUAUGAAAAUAAUUGUUAUUUAGUGUUGCCAUGUUGAUUUAAUUUGACGGAAAAAAAUAAGAUAGGAAUUGAAGGAAUAUAUUUGAUUUUG